rnacentral:ncRNA from 1 species
UGGCAACUGUUUACCAAAAACACAGCUCCCUGCGAACUCGUAAGAGGAUGUAUAGGGGGUGAUGCCUGACCAAUGCCAGAAGGUCAAAUAUAGCCGUUGUAUUUUUCGCAAGAAAGAUAUGGUGAGUUAUAUAAGCCCUGGUGAAUGUCGGCCGUAACUAUAACGGUCCUAAGGUUAUUGACUUAUUUUAUAUUUAUUGUAUAAUAAUGAGUCAAUAAGAACUGGGACUGUUGUAGAAUUACGAGUUUAGGUAAAUAAUUAAAUCAUUAUACCAAACGUAAAAUGCUGCCUCAUUAUGCAGUAAUGCAUAAUCGGUAACAUGGCUA